CAGGUGUUUGAUGGUCAUCAGAAGAUGAUGCCAGAGACAUGAACAAUAGAUUAGUAGGAGAGAUGAUUCUCUUUUCCUGAUUGGGGCCGCCAGGGCCACAGCAAGGACAGGGCAGGACUAGAGUGGCAAGAAGACUACAAGGAGAGAGACAGAGAGGAAGUUAUAGUUCUCUCUCCAUUGCAACAACCACAGUUGGUGGAUGUGAGAGACCAAUCUGGCAGAUGUUGCAUGGUGAUCAGAGGACAAGACAACAGG